GACGAACCGAGCGAACGUUAUUCGGAAUCACUGGGCUUAAAGGGCGCGUAGGCGGGCGAUCAAGUCAGGGGUGAAAGCCCCCAGCUCAACUGGGGAAGUGCCUCUGAUACUGGUCAUCUCGAGGGAGGUAGGGGCGUGCGGAACUUCCGGUGGAGCGGUGAAAUGCGUAGAUAUCGGAAGGAACACCGGUGGCGAAAGCGGCGCGCUGGACCUCUUCUGACGCUGAGGCGCGACAGCGUGGGGAGCAAACAGG
rnacentral:rRNA from 1 species